rnacentral:misc_RNA from 1 species
UUUCCGUAGGUGAACCUGCGGAAGGAUCAUUCUUAAUUAGUGUUUUAUGGCACUUUUUUAACUCCAUAUCCACCUUGUGUGGAAUGUCAGGGUUGACUUUUAUCUCGAGGGGAUCAGCGUCAAACAUAAACUAUAUCUCAAGUCUUUGUCUGAAAAAUAUUAUGAAUAAAACAAUUCAAAAUACAACUUUCAACAACGGAUCUCUUGGCUCUC